GAAAGCACAGGAGAAUGUUGUUGGAUUUUAACAUUGUUGACAACUCUAGCAUCUUACAUUUUAGACCGAGACUACAAUUGCAAAAUUGUACUAGCUAGGGUUGAUAUUUUUGUCAACUGUCACUUUUUUUUUUUUUGCAGCCAUUCACCAAGUGAUUUUUGCCUGAACGCAGUGCACAUUUUCUCCAUGAACAUCUCCAAAUCAAGUUAUAAAGGAACUUCAGGAUAAUGAUAAUGAUGUCAUGAUAUAUUAGGAACUCUUCAUUUGGCAGCAUACAGCAGGCAAUCCACUUUAAGGUGCAGGGUGAAGAGGAAAACCUGUCAUCCUGAAAAAUAAAAUACAUGCAUUCGUGUGGAAAGAUGACUCAGGCUAUCCAAACAGGAUUAGCAGAAAAUGGACACCCAUAUAAAUCAGAGGCUCUGUUGCUUGGUAAUGCACAAUGCCAACUCCUCAAGAACAGUAAUUAACUAUAGUAUGGCUAUAAUAAUAUGUAAGUAUAACAUAUUUGGAAGUAAUUGGAAGUAAAUUGCACCUAUAAGUGCUUCGUCUCAGAUUCCUCCAUCCAAUGCUUGGGGCUAAAUUGUUCUCCAAUGAAUUUUUCAAUUUCAACAGUCUUUGACUGUGCAUUCUUAAAAUAUAUUGGUGUGUGAAAAUGGUGUAAAUAUUAUUGCACACCCAGGAUCAUCUUUUCAAAAGCACUUGUUCAUCCUUUUUUUUUUUUUUUUGCCCCUCUGCCUUGGUAACUACGCGGCCAAUACCACUUCAAGCCUAUUUGUCCAUCUUUCUCCUCUAUCUUGCUGGGUGGUUAAUUUUCUAUUUUCUGUUCAGAUUGGUAGCACAAAAGCAAAAGUGUGUGGUGUAGAUGGGGGAGAAAUUUUCACUUGUUCUUUUUUGUCCCCA